rnacentral:rRNA from 1 species
AUGUCAAAGGCAUGCCCUGGGUCUAGAUGGAAUGAGAAUAUUCUCCUAUGGCGGCAUAAAAUCGUAGAUGAUAUUCCCGUUUACAAUAGGGAACUAUCUGGUUAUCUUAUUACCCACUACAUGUCCACAUGGGAAGAUGGAAAACUACAUUUACCAUUUCUAAAGGAUGGAUACAAACUCAGGAAACAAAUUUUGGGACAUCUUCUAACAUUCGAGCACAAUGAAUCUGAAGAUGGCAUGCCUACUGGUGUCCUGGACUUCAUCAAUUUUAUCAGGAUGAAGAAGCUAUCAACUAUAUGUCCAACUGCUGCUCCUAAAUUGUCUCGACAAUCCUAG